UUUGCCCCUCUCGUUCUAGCUCUAGGGUUUGAGAAUUCGAACCCGCCUUCCGCGACUCGCCCCCCACCCGUGUCCUCCUCUUCUCACACGUUCUCCCCCACCUCGCCAUUCUCUACUCGCCCGCUCCUCCUCCUCCUCCCGGCGGCUCCACACCAAAACCCUCUCUCGCCGCCGACCACCUCACUUCCGGCGCCGCCUCUCCGUCCACCGUUCCUUGAUCGCCCAUCGUUGCUCCAACCGGCCUCCUCGACCUUCGCCUCGCGCGGCUUCAGCCUCUUCCACGAUUAUCCAGGACGAGGAGAACCCGGUUGAAGCUUGGAGCAACGUCGACGUCGCGUCGCGGAGCCGUUCGAGCGCGCGCGUGUUACCGUAGCAUCGCGAGGAGGCCGGGCGAGGGAGUGUUUUCGUCGUUCUCGACGCCGUGCCGGAAUUGGAGUCGCUGGUUGAGGUGGGUAAUCUCUCAUUCCUCCAUGGAUUUCUUCUCUACUUCAAGCUUCAUUCAAUUCGAGCUUAAGUGCUGAUUCGCAGGAUCUUGUCGUCGACUGUUAGUAUUUCAGCUCGUACGCGACGUAGGAGCAUCGGAUUUCGACGAGAUUUGGUUCGUUGGAACCGGGACUUCGAGACGAAUCCAUAGGAUCCUUACUCGCCCGAUUUGGAGAAGCAUCGACCCGCCGUGUUUUACCUAGUUCUCUGUGUAGGAGUGUCGAAACGCGACGAAAUUUGACGUGCUAGAUUCGCGACUUCGAGACGAAGAUUCUGAGCCCAAGAUCGCGAUUUUUGGAGCAGGUUCCAGCGUCGACGUUUCGUAUUCUGGCCCGUUCUCUGCGUAGGAGCGUCGGAAUUCAGCGAAAUCUGGGCCAUUGGAUUCGUGACUUCGAGACGAAGCUUCAGGACCUUUGUUUGCUGAAUUUGGAUAAGGUUAGCUUGGUCGGAUUUAACGCUUUCUUCGCUGCCAGGAGUUGCUUGAGAGGUGGGUUACAUCGGUUUUUACUCCUAAGUUCAUAUUCGUCGGCAUGUAUAAUUUUCGACCUUUGGAUACUCUAUUCUAGCUCGAAUUCAUGGAUUAUAAUGUAGAUUGCAAAUCUGAAUUUGGAG